GUUUUUUAUUAUUAUUAAACAUGCAAUAAUAUACCUGCAAUGUACUAUGAUAUGCAACUUAUUUUGAUAUAUACAACUAUUGUGUGUAAAUUCUUUUCUUUUUUGUAGAAAAUGGCUAUAGUACAAAGGCUACCAAUAUUGGUCGGUCAGGAACUCCGAAGACAUAGGGUAAUGAAUUUUUCAAGAUCCAGACAUUCUUCUUGAUUUCAUAGACAGUUCUACACUGCAGCUGGUAUAAAAGUGACAAAUCAUGAAAGAACCCAGUCCACACAUGAAUUGCUAAGGUCAAUGCACUGAAAAGAAGGAAGUUGAAGUUAGAUCGACAUAGAGAUGGCUAGUUUUUUUGCUGUUCCGCUCUACAAUGGACUAAUUUGAGACCCUCUCCCCCUGGAUGGCUGUGCAAUUAUUUGUACAGGCAAUUCACUCCACCAGGAAAGAGUCCUGUGGACAUGAGAAGGAAGUAGAUGACAGUAGCACUUAGGUUAUUCUUAACUACGAAAAAGUUUACCGAAUGAUAGAAGUUCUGGCCAGAGUUUAAAGAGUUCUAUGUAUCAAUAAAAAAAGACAACAGACGAAACAUCUGGGAGCUUCUGCAGGAAAAAGAAGAAAGAAGAAUUAAAGGUUACCAAGCGGAACAAGGAAGAGAGAAAUGAAUUGUUACAUGGCAAUGAAGAAUAAACUCCUGAGAAC